GCAUUGCCAGCUUCAGGACAGUUCUAACCCUGCCUCCCAUCUUUCUAUGGAAGUGCUAGGGUCACAGAUGCAUACCACCUCAUUCAGCUUUUCACACUGCUUUCAGGGAUUGAAGCAGGUUAUUAAGCUUAUGUGACUAACACUAUUACCCAUUAAGCCAUCUCCCCAGGCUCCAAGUCUCUUUAUCUAAGUAGCAAAUAAACUCUCAACUAUAUGGUGUUUUAUGGCACACUUGACAGAUAGACUAUGGACUCCCUUGAUUCAACUAACUCAGACAGAUUUGGCAAAGCCAGAAGCCAGCAUCUUAUUAUCCAGUCAGAGCCAACAUCCUUAUCCCUGAUCUUGAGUCUUGUCUCUUGACUUGGUUGGAAUUUUAAAUUUCACAGCGCUGCCCUGGGGAUGAGAGGACCGGGAUUCUAUUCUUAGUGUAAUUAGUGGCCUUGAACAGAUGAUCUCAUGACAGGGUCUCCCCCUUCACUGUAAACUGAGAAGGUUAGCUAGAUGACCCCAGAGGCUCUUUUUGGCUCUAAAUUUGGUGACUCUGGAAACACCUGCUCAUGCCAUUUAUGUGUUCAGUGUCUUUCUUCUACUUUUCCAAAAUGUUCUAACUCAUGGCUAUUGUUAUCAUACAUACAAACGUUUUUAAACCUUUUUUUUUAUAAUUUGCUGUAUUGUUUCUUAAUGGUAGCUGGUCUUUCUCUAUUAACUCUUAUUAAGUAUUGUGUAUAUUCUGUUCCACUUUGAAAUUGGGUUAGCAGGCAUGCAGUUGUGAGUAAAACUAUUUCUAAAAUGGAGACCAAUAAUUUGGGUGUGUUUGUUAUUUUGAGAUGAAUUCAAAUGUUCAAAUGGCUUACAAAUCAUCUGCAUUACACAAUAAAUGACGUGUUUUCUAUAAAAUCGUUCUCAUUUUCACACUUUAAAAUGUUAAAUCAUUUAAGAACUAAAAUUAUCACCAUUGCUGUGGGAGUACAUACACCAUCAUUAGUUUUUUUUUCAGUUUAUAUAUCUUGUGCAUAUAACGAUAGCCCCUCUUGUUAAAAUGAAUUGCUUGGAAGCUCUUUAAAGCAGUUUUGAACAGUUGUUGUCUUUAUAUCCUAUCAGUUUGUUGAUGUGCUUACUCCAGAGACAGAGACAGAGACAGAGACAGAGACAGAGACCAAGAGAAUAUGUAUGUAUGUACAUAUAUUUACAAAAUUAUUCAGCAGAAAGGGCUAGAAGAUAUUCACAUUAGUGUUAAAUUUGAAGUGACUCAUUGGCAAACCUACAUACAGUAUAAGAAGCUAAAAAAAAAAGGGGGGGACUGUAGUUCUUUUUUAUUAGCACAGGAAAAAGGAUAUUGAAAAAGCCACAGGGAAGACCAGAGUCCAUAGCACAACAUAGCUUCUGAAAGUCAGCCAAAUGCUAUUUGACUUUCUGAUAGAAUUAUGGAAAAGGCCUUUUGUCUUUCUUCUCUUCAGUUAUUGUUUAUGGGUUUGUGUCUGUUUGUUUGGAGAGCAGGAUCUCAUGGAGCCUAGGCUGGCCUUGAACUUCCCCAGUAUCUGAGAUUAGCCUUAAACUGCUGAUCCUCCUGCCUUUACCUCUCAGGUUCUGGGAUUCCAGGCUUAUGCCAACAUGUCCAGAUGCAAAGCCUAGCUUGAAUUACAGGGAACACAUAGAAACUCAAUGAUUUAAAAUGAAGAGUCCACAGGAGUAUUAUUUGAUAACUCCAGCUAAUGGUUCUGAGCAAAGUUUCUUAUUCGUCCUCCUGUAUGCAUUAGCAACGAGGCAAGCAGGAGGGACCAACUGUAACUCUCUGUCACUCCAUGUAUCUGUUUGCCUUACAGUCUUAUGAAGUAAAUUCAUCUAAUUGGUUAAGGAAGAAACAGAGGCCACAGGAUUACACAGUUAAAUGGGGGCAGAAGUAUUGAGCCCUCGGUCCCUAUAACAAUAUUCCAGGGUCCCCAAACUGGUUCCAAGUCCUGCUCCUCCUCUCAGAGGUCUUUCUGUGGGCUUUGUCAAGAUGUUUUAGCUCUCUAAGCCAUGGAUAUAAGUAAGAUCCGGUGAAUAAAACUGCAGACAGUUGCUAAGGUGGUAAACUGACACGAAGCUCCACUUGACAUCCUUAGCACAGAGCUUUGCUUAAAGCUGCUCCCAGUGAAUAACUAGUGUUGCUAUUGUAACUAUGACGAUUGUGGCUGCCCCUGGAAAUAUGAAUCCUAGCUCUCUAAACAUAGGGAAGCAUUUCUUUCGGUUAUUCUGCCUGUAUAACGUCCUUCUAUGGAAGUAAAGAAGCUGGAGUUGGUGGCUCAAGACCCUAAUUCCAGGACAUGGAAGACUGAAGCAGGAUUGUACUAAAUUGAGACCAGUUUGAGAGGCAAUAUUGAGUUUUAGGCUAGCCUGUUUUGCUAAGCAAUGUUAUAUGCUAAUUAAUUAGUCAGUUGACUAAAUUAGAUAAAUAUAUGGUUGCCCUGACCAGUUUACCAUUAUUAAGCAAUUUAGCUCCUUAUGGGAUGGAGCUUGGAGGUAGGC
rnacentral:lncRNA from 1 species